CUAUACCAUGCUGAAUAUACCGGUUCUCGUUCGAUCACUGAAGUCAAGCAUCUUGCAUCGGCGAUUGCAGCCAGUACCAGGACGGUGACCACCUAGGAACACCGCGUGCCGUUG